rnacentral:lncRNA from 10 species
UGCAGUUUGAUCUCAGACUGCUGUGCUAGCAAUCCAGCGAGACUCCAUGGGCGUAGGCCCCUCCGAGCCAGGCCAUGGAACUGGGACAAGGCUAAUCUUCCCUUCAGCAUGAGAGAGUGAACUUUAAGCACUUGAAGCCUUCUGUAAAUGAGUGGCAGUAAUUAAGACAUAAUAGUUACUCCUACCAACUUUUCUUUGAGCCUCUCUGAGAAAAAGAAUGAGGCGCUGUUUCCAUGUGAAGAUUCAACACCCUUUGGUAAAAUCCAGUCUGCCUGAGAACUAUUUUUUUUCUGUUAAAAUUCAAGAAUAACCAAUAAGAACACCUUGACAUUUCCCCAGACAUCUUGUCCCUCACUUAAACCUACACAAGAUCGUGCUGAAAGAAGGGAAAGGGAAAGCAUGAGGAACACUCUCGGGACUGGAAAAACGUUUUUAGAGAUCAGGUAAUCCAAUCAUCCCAAACUGAGAAUCUACCGCCUAACUGAUUCCAGCUGAAGACAGCUUUAGUGUUCGUUCUCAUCUGUAUAUGGGGAUAAUAUCUUCUUAAGGAUGCUUCAAUUCUGGAAUAAAAUAAUGCAUAUGAAAGCAUCUGACAUGGGUUAUGCACUCACUAAAACUGGCUGAACCUGGAAAUUCUGCAUUUAUUCAAUAAAUAUUAAGUGAAC